rnacentral:lncRNA from 1 species
AUGGCUUCGGCAUCUUACCGCACCCAAACAUUUGCGAGGGCCAGCAUUGUUGGCACAAAACACAGAUGGGAAGGGCAAAGCAGAUGCUUCAGUCUGGACAAAAGAUGUUUUCCUUAUUUUAUUCUCAAAGAAGUGCUUGCAGAAAGCUGUCUGGGUGGUAUAGUACAAAAAGCGAAAAAGCAAGGUAAGCAAAGUGCAGAUGGGGGCUGUACACUUGGGCAUUUCUGUAAUCGGGCUCAGUGCUGCUUUUCCUGGCUCAGUGCUUGGGGAGCCUGCACAGCCCUGAUGGGGGCUUCUUGCUAGCAUACUAACCCAGGCAUUCAGGAAGUGGCCAUUUUCUAGGCUCUCAGGACACUCAUCAUUUUUAAAAUUAAAAAAUCAGUCUCUUUUGCACAAGGCUUUUCUGUCUUCUUGUUUUCAAUCAGGACUAGAUGGAAAGGUUGUGCUCCCAAAGGCUACAGGGAAAACAGAUGCUGUCUCUAAGCAGACAGACCAGGUAGAUUGUAACAAGACCACCCAAAAGAAACCACUGCAGAAUCAGAAGGACCAACUUAUCUAGAGAGUUUGGCCAUCCCAAGCCAAGAUGUGAGAUGGGUUUGCCCUACUUGUAUUUCUGGCUCCCCAUAUUUAAAGAAAAACACAUCCAACCAUUGCUUUUCAGUCACACCACCAAUUCGCUGGAUACAGCAAAUCUUUGCCUUGUCAGUAAAAUGUUAGGGUAGCUUUUCUUUUGUGGUGCAGCAGGUUGAGAGUGUUGGACUGCAACUCUGGGAAACCAAGCUUCAAACCCACCCCCUCUCAGCCACAGAAAUGCACUAGUGUCCUUGGGCAAGUCAUGCUCGCUCAGCCCUAGAAAGAGACAAACAGAGCCGGCCCUAGGUAUUUUUCAAGUGUAGGCGAACAGAAUUUUGGCGCCCCCCCAAACCAAUCACUGAAAAAUAAAAGCGUUGGAUAAGCGAAAAUGUUGGAUAAUAAGGAAGUAUAAAGGAAAAGCCUAUAAAACAUCAAAUUACAUUAUGAUUUUAAAAUUUAAGCACCAAAACAUCAUGUUUUACAACAAAUCAAUAGAAAAAGCAGUUCAAUACAUGGUAAUGUUAUGUAGGAAUUACUAUAUUUGCAAAUUUAGCACUAAACAUUGAACAGGGAUAUAGGGCAGUGUGGACUUAGAUAACCCAGAUAGCCCUCAGUAUUAAAAAAAACCCUCUAAAAUCAGGACAAUAAAUAAAGAACAACACUCUGAAAACAGAAGAAAUCCAGACAGUAAACAAUCAGGGACAGCUAACUCCUCCCAAAAAAAGAUUCUCCCAGGCAAGAAGAAGCCAGGCCU